ensembl:lncRNA
AAGCGAUAAAACUGCUCACAGGAGGGUAAUUCAGGCAGUUCGAUAACCAUGCAAUGAAGAGAAAGCUGCUGACAUAGAUUUAAAGGCUAAUUACAAGCAGAGAGUGACCAGAGGAUGGUUGGACUCCAUCUGCACAGUGGACAGAAGCCAACUGAUUCCUGCACUGUUUACACUGUUCUUUCAUCACUAGAGAAUGCUCUCCAUGGAGUUUCAGGUUUCAAAUGAAUCAAAAAGCUCGAAAACUGUGGACCUGUGUUUAAAGGAAAAGAUUCUGGCAGCAGCUGAAGAUUAAAUUCAUAGAAGUUUGAACAGUUCUGGAUGCUCAUCAAAAGAGUGCUCUUUAAAUCAUUUCAUCCAUGAUAAAAAAGUCCAAUUAAAAUAACAGGACAAGAAGGCUGUGUCUGCUGCAUGCUGUGGAUUGUGAUGAGAUUUUGAGCAAACAAACUCUACUCCAAUACAGGAAUGACCACCAAACCCAAAAAAGGAGACACAACAACCAUUGUGGCUUUAGGUUUCAUUUGCACAUGGGAAUGUUAGGUCGCAAAUGUCAUUUAACUGCAGAUUUGAUUAUUAAGACAAUAACAGCAGUAUUAGAGGAGACACGUGGAGGGUUGAGCUGAUUAAUGGAGUUGACUACCCCUCUGUGACCUUAAAGUUGCCCGACCAUUCUAAUUCCAGUAAAAAUAUCCAUCCAGUAAAAAGAUGCCAGAUUCUCUCCUGCUGAGUUCUGCUGAGUUGAACUCCUAAGAGUUCGCAGAUCCUACUGCAGGUUCUCCAGAACUUCUUCCAGGAAGUUUUUCUCCUCUAUAAGAACAUUUCCUCAGAAUAUGCUCACAGUUUUCAGGAUCUUGGUACUCUCUCAGCCCAUCUAAACUGAAAGCAUCCAUCGUUAACUCCCACAAAAAGAGUUCCACUGCUUACUUACACUUUCUGUAAAAAACUAGUUGUCACCUGCUGUUUUAAUUUUCUUACCCCACAGAAAGAGAGGAUGAAAGGCUGUUGUUUUUAGGAUGGCCAUUUGAACUUUUGAAUUUCCAACAAGAUGCAAGUGAAUGUUCUAAGAAGUCUGCAGAAUUGUCUUAAAGCUCCCUUUGCAUUGAUGCCAAAAGUGAGAGGUAAUGACCUCAAGUUGCACGAGAG